UGGGGAAUAUUGCACAAUGGGCGAAAGCCUGAUGCAGCAACGCCGCGUGAGUGAUGAAGGCCUUCGGGUUGUAAAGCUCUGUCUUCUGGGACGAUAAUGACGGUACCAGAGGAGGAAGCCACGGCUAACUACGUGCCAGCAGCCGCGGUAAUACGUAGGUGGCAAGCGUUGUCCGGAUUUACUGGGCGUAAAGGAUGCGUAGGCGGAUACUUAAGUCAGAUGUGAAAAUCCCGGGCUUAACUUGGGAACUGCAUUUGAAACUGGGUAUCUAGAGUACGGGAGAGGAAAGUGGAAUUCCUAGUGUAGCGGUGAAAUGCGUAGAGAUUAGGAAGAACACCAGUGGCGAAGGCGACUUUCUGGACCGUAACUGACGCUGAGGCAUGAAAGCGUGGGGAGCAAACA
rnacentral:rRNA from 1 species